CUUAGACAUGAAGUAGAAUAGAAGAGAUCGAGAGUCCCGAUUGUAUCCAGCAAGAUUCUUCAUAAAUUCAAAACUCAAAAGCUUGUUUGCAGUCAAUUGUUACAAGCAUAAAAUUUUCAUUGUAAUUGGAAAUCUCUCACAUAUC